GUGCUCGCUUCGGCAGCACAUAUGCUGAAAUUGGAAUGAUACAAAAAAGAUUAGCAUGGCCCCUGCACAAGGAUAAUGCAAAUUCGUGAAGCGUUCUAUAUUUUU